rnacentral:lncRNA from 1 species
UUUCUGUGUGAAUGGUUUAAGUACGAGGCUUUGCUCUCAGUGAGAGGCGGUUGGUUUCAGGGUGGUUGACUCGGUCCUUCCUGAUAGCUAGCGGAGCCAGUGACUACUAAUUACGUUUUUUAUGUUGGCAACAACCUUUAUACCAAUAUAUCUGCUUUUUUUCUUGUCUGUGGGCUAUGAUGAUAUAUUCUUUGAGCCUGAAAAGUUGGACUGAAGGAGAAAGACUCAAUUUCUUGGCAAGGCAACCUUUUGUUGUUGUAGCGCCGAUGUUGUGGUGUUUCUUUCCUGUCCAAUUUGAAGGCAUAUCUGAUCUGAGCCUUCUCUUUCUCCAGAUUUCUCUGGUUCUGUUUGGGCCUCCAUCCUCUACAAUCUCUCACUCUUCAUAUUCUUCGAUUUUUAUUCUGUUAUUUUUUUUCUAAAAUGAAAAGUUGAUUGCUUUUGCAUGAAAUAUGUNNNNNNNNNNNNNNNNNNNNNNNNNNNNNNNNNNNNNNNNNNNNNNNNNNNNNNNNNNNNNNNNNNNNNNNNNNNNNNNNNNNNNNNNNNNNNNNNNNNNNNNNNNNNNNNNNNNNNNNNNNNNNNNNNNNNNNNNNNNNNNNNNNNNNNNNNNNNNNNNNNNNNNNNNNNNNNNNNNNNNNNNNNNNNNNNNNNNNNNNNNNNNNNNNNNNNNNNNNNNNNNNNNNNNNNNNNNNNNNNNNNNNNNNNNNNNNNNNNNNNNNNNNNNNNNNNNNNNNNNNNNNNNNNNNNNNNNNNNNNNNNNNNNNNNNNNNNNNNNNNNNNNNNNNNNNNNNNNNNNNNNNNNNNNNNNNNNNNNNNNNNNNNNNNNNNNNNNNNNNNNNNNNNNNNNNNNCGGGGGGGGGCGGUUGUUUAAGGCUGGUUGACUCGUUGCUCUCUGAUAGCUAGCGGAGCCGGUGACUACUGAUUAUGUUUCUUAUGUUGGUGAACUUUGGGUGGGUGACUUGUGAGCUUUUUGAUUUUUAGAUAUUUUGUGAUUUUCAAUCUUCUGCUUGAAAAAGGCGAAUUGAGCCUCCUUUUAUAUGCUUAAAUCAAGGUUGGCUUUAGAUUGCUUUGGGUGGUGACCCGUGAGCUUCUGAUUUUGAGCUAUUUUGUGAUAUUCAAUCUUCUGCUUGAAAAGGGGGAAUUUGAGCCUCCUUUUAUAUACUUAAAUCAAGGCUGGCUUUAGUUUGCUUUUGAUGGGUGACUCGUGAGCUUCUGAUUUUGAGCUCUUUUCCGAUGUUCAAUCUUCUGCUUGAAAAGGGUGAAUGUGAGCCUCCUAUUAUAUGCAUAAAUCAAGGUUGGCUUUAGAUUGCUUUGGGGGGUGACCUGUGAGCUUCUAAUUUUGAGCUAUUUUGUGAUAUUCAAUCUUCUGCAUGAAAAAGGCAAAUUUGAGCCUCCUUUUAUACGCUUGAGUCUCCUUUUAUACGCUUGAGUUUUCUUUUGUGAUGUUCAAUCCUCUGCAUGAAAAAGGCGAAUGUGAGCCUCCAUUGUGAUGUUCAAUCUUCUGCUCGAAAAAGGCGAAUGUGAGCCUCCAUUGUGAUGUUCAAUCUUCUGCUCGAAAAAGGCGAAUGUGAGCCUCCAUUGUGAUGUUCAAUCUUCUGCUCGAAAAAGGCGAAUGUGAGCCUCCAUUGUGAUGUUCAAUCUUCUGCUCGAAAAAGGCGAAUGUGAGCCUCCAUUGUGAUGUUCAAUCUUCUGCUCGAAAAAGGCGAAUGUGAGCCUCCAUUGUGAUGUUCAAUCUUCUGCUCGAAAAAGGCGAAUGUGAGCCUCCAUUGUGAUGUUCAAUCUUCUGCUCGAAAAAGGCGAAUGUGAGCCUCCAUUGUGAUGUUCAAUCUUCUGCUCGAAAAAGGCGAAUGUGAGCCUCCAUUGUGAUGUUCAAUCUUCUGCUCGAAAAAGGCGAAUGUGAGCCUCCAUUGUGAUGUUCAAUCUUCUGCUCGAAAAAGGCGAAUGUGAGCCUCCAUUGUGAUGUUCAAUCUUCUGCUCGAAAAAGGCGAAUGUGAGCCUCCAUUGUGAUGUUCAAUCUUCUGCUUGACAAGGCAAAUUUGAGCCUCCUUUAUAUGCUUAACAAGGCUUGCUUGAGUUUACUUUGGUUGGGUGAGUCUUGAGAUUUUGAUUUUGAGCUAUUUUGUGAUACUCAAUCUUUUGCAUGAAAAAGGCAAAUUUGAGCCUCCUUUUAUAGGCUUGAGUUUUCUUUUGUGAUGUUCAAUCUUCUGCUUGAAAAAGGCGAAUNNNNNNNNNNNNNNNNNNNNNNNNNNNNNNNNNNNNNNNNNNNNNNNNNNNNNNNNNNNNNNNNNNNNNNNNNNNNNNNNNNNNNNNNNNNNNNNNNNNNNNNNNNNNNNNNNNNNNNNNNNNNNNNNNNNNNNNNNNNNNNNNNNNNNNNNNNNNNNNNNNNNNNNNNNNNNNNNNNNNNNNNNNNNNNNNNNNNNNNNNNNNNNNNNNNNNNNNNNNNNNNNNNNNNNNNNNNNNNNNNNNNNNNNNNNNNNNNNNNNNNNNNNNNNNNNNNNNNNNNNNNNNNNNNNNNNNNNNNNNCGAGUAUCCUUUGUGAUGUUCAAUCUUCUGCUUGAAAAAGGCGAAUGUGAGCCUCCUAUUAUAUGCAUAAAUCAAGGUUGGCUUUAGAUUGCUUUGUGGGGUGACCUGUGAGCUUCUAAUUUUGAGCUNNNNNNNNNNNNNNNNNNNNNNNNNNNNNNNNNNNNNNNNNNNNNNNNNNNNNNNNNNNNNNNNNNNNNNNNNNNNNNNNNNNNNNNNNNNNNNNNNNNNNNNNNNNNNNNNNNNNNNNNNNNNNNNNNNNNNNNNNNNUGGUUGGGUGACUCUUGAGAUUCUGAUUUUGAGCUAUUUUGUGAUAUUCAAUCUUCUGCAUGAAAAAGGCAAAUUUGAGCCUCCUUUUAUACGCUUGAGUUUUCUUUUGUGAUGUUCAUUCUUCUGCUUGAAAAAGGGGAAUCUGAGCCUCCUUUUAAUAUGCUUAAAUCAAGGGAUGCUUGAGUUAACUUUGGUUAGGUGACCUGUGAGAUUCUGAUUUUGAGCUAUUUUGUGAUAUUCAAUCUUCUGCAUAAAAAAGGCAAAUUUGAGGCUCAUUUUAUAUGCUUAACAAGGCUUGCUUGAGUUUACUUUGGUUGGGUGACUCUUGAGAUUCUGAUUUUGAGCUAUUUUGUGAUANNNNNNNNNNNNNNNNNNNNNNNNNNNNNNNNNNNNNNNNNNNNNNNNNNNNNNNNNNNNNNNNNNNNNNNNNNNNNNNNNNNNNNNNNNNNNNNNNNNNNNNNNNNNNNNNNNNNNNNNNNNNNNNNNNNNNNNNNNNNNNNNNNNNNNNNNNNNNNNNNNNNNNNNNNNNNNNNNNNNNNNNNNNNNNNNNNNNNNNNNNNNNNNNNNNNNNNNNNNNNNNNNNNNNNNNNNNNNNNNNNNNNNNNNNNNNNNNNNNNNNNNNNNNNNNNNNNNNNNNNNNNNNNNNNNNNNNNNNNNNNNNNNNNNNNNNNNNNNNNNNNNNNNNNNNNNNNNNNNNNNNNAAGUUUUCUCUUGUGAUGUUCAAUCUUCUGCUUGAAAAAGGCGAAUCUGAGUCUCCUUUGUGAUGUUCAAUCUUCUGCUUGAAAAAGGCGAAUGUGAGCCUCCUAUUAUAUGCAUAAAUCAAGGUUGGCUUUAGAUUGCUUUGUGGGGUGACCUGUGAGCUUCUAAUUUUGAGCUAUUUUGUGAUAUUCAAUCUUCUGCUCGAAAAAGGCGAAUUUGAGCCUCCUUUUAUAUGCUUAACAAGGCUUGCUUGAGUUUACUCUGGUUGGGUGACUCUUGAGAUUCUGAUUUUGAGCUAUUUUGUGAUAUUCAAUCUUCUGCAUAAAAAAGGCAAAUUUGAGGCUCCUUUUAUACGCUUGAGUUUUCUUUUGUGAUGUUCAAUCUUCUGCUUGAAAAAGGCGAAUCUGAUCCUCCUUUAAUAUGCUUAAAUCAAGGCAUGCUUGAGUUUACUUUGGUUAGGUGACCUGUGAGAUUCUGAUUUUGAGCUAUUUUGUGAUAUUCAAUCUUCUGCUUGAAAAAGGCGAAUUUUUGAUCCUUGUUUCUCAUGUUGGCAACAGCCCUUAUACCAAUAUAUCUGCUUUCUUUCUUGUGUGUGUGAGUGGCUGUUUGGAGAACUUUGGGUGGGUGACUCGUGCUUUAUAUGCUUGAGUUUUCUUUUGUGAUGUUCAAUCUUCUGCUUGAAAAAGGCGAAUCUGAGUCUCCUUUGUCAUGUUCAAUCUUCUGCUUGAAAAAGGCAAAUGUGAGCCUCCUAUUAUAUGCAUAAAUCAAGGUUGGCUUUAGAUUGCUUUGUGGGGUGACCUGUGAGCUUCUAAUUUUGAGCUGGUGAGCUUCUAAUUUUGAGCUAUUUUGUGAUAUUCAAUCUUCUGCUUGAAAAAGGCGAAUUUGAGCCUCCUUUUAUAUGCUUAACAAGGCUUGCUUGAGUUUACUGUGGUUGGGUGACUCUUGAGAUUCUGAUUUUGAGCUAUUUUGUGAUAUUCAAUCUUCUGCAUGAAAAAGGCAAAUUUGAGCCUCCUUUUAUUUUUAUACGCUCGAGUUUUCUUUUAUGAUGUUCAAUCUUCUGCUUGAAAAAGGCGAAUCUGAGCCUCCUUUGUGAUGUUCAAUCUUCUGCUUGAAAAAGGCGAAUGUGAGCCUCCUAUUAUAUGCAUAAAUCAAGGUUGGCUUUAGAGUGCUUUGGGGGGUGACCUGUGAGCUUCUAAUUUUGAGCUAUUUCGUGAUAUUCAAUUUUUUAAUUUUGAAAAAGGCAAAUUUGAGCCUCCUUUUAUAUGCUUAACAAGGCUUGCUUGAGUUUAAUGUGGUUGGUUGACUCUUGAGAUUCUGAUUUUGAGCUAUUUCGUGAUAUUCAAUCUUUUGCAUGAAAAAGGCAAAUUUGAGCCUGCUUUUAUACGCUUGAGUUUUCUUUUGUGAUGUUCAAUCGUCUGCUUGAAACAGGCGAAUAUGAGCCUCUUUUAAUAUGCUUAAAUCAAGGCAUGCUUGAGUUUACUUUGGUUAGGUGACCUGUGAGAUUCUGAUUUUGAGCUAUUUUGUGAUAUUCAAUCUUCUGCUUGAAAAAGGCGAAUUUAAGCCUCCUUUUAUAUGCUUAACAAGGCUUGCUUGGAAUUUAAGCCUCCUUUUAUGCGCUUGAGUUUUCUUUUGUGAUGUUCAAUCUUCUGCUUUAAAAAGGCGAAUCUGUCUCCUUUUAUAUGCUUAAAUCAAGGCAUGCUUGAGUUUACUUUGGUUAGGUGACUCAUGAGAUUCUGAUUUUGAGUUAUUUUGUGAUAUCAAUCUUCUUCUUGAAAAAGGCGAGUUUGAGCCUCCUUUUAUACGCUUAAAUCAAGGCUGGCUUUAGUUUGCUUUCGAUGGGUGAUUCGUGAGCUUCUGAUUUUGAGCUCUUUUCCGAUGUUCAAUCUUCUGCUUGAAAAAGGCAAAUCUGAGCCUCAUUUUAUGUGCUUAAAUCAAGGACGGCUUGAGUUUUACAUUUGUUGAACAUUGUUGGUAUGUGAAUAAAGUUUUGCAUAAUUUUGAUCCUUGUCUCUCAUGUUGGCAACAGCCCUUAUACCAAUAUAUCUGCUUUCUUUCUUGUGUGUGUGAGUGGCUGUUUGGAGAACUUUGGGUGGGUGACUCGUGAGCUUUUGUAUUUUUAGCUCUUUUAUGAUGUUCAAUCUUCUGCUUGAAAAAGAAGGCUAAUCUGAGCUUUCCUUUAUAUGCUUAAAUCAAGGCAUGCUUGAGUUUACUUUGGUUGGGUGACUCGUGAGAUUAGGAUUUUGAGCUAUGUUGUGAUAUUCAAUCUUCUGCUUGAAAAAGGCGAAUUUGAGCCUCCCUUUAUACGCUUAAAUCAAGGCUGGCUUUAGUUUGCUUUCGGCAGUUGACUUGUGAGCUUCUAAUUUUGAGCUCUUUUCCGAUAUGAAUCAAUCUUCUGUUUGGAAAAGGUGAAUCUGAGCCUCAUUUUAAAUGCUUAAAUCAAGGACGGCUUGAGUUUUACAUUCGGUGGACGUUGUUGGUAUGUGAAUAAAGUUUUGCAUAAUUUUGAUCCUUGUUUCUCAUGUUGGCAACAGCCCUUAUACCAAUAUAUCUGCUUCCUUUCUUGUGUGUGUGAAUGGCUGUCUGGAGAACUUUUGGUGGGUGACUCGUGAGCUUCUGUAUUUUGAGCUCUUUUCUGAUGUUCAAUCUUCUACUUGAAAAAGACGAAUCUGAGCCUUAUUUAAUAUGCUUAAAGAAAUGUCUGCUUUAGUUUUACAUUCGGUGAAUGUUGUUGGUGUGUGAAUAAAGUUAUUCAUAAUUUUGAUCCUUGUUUCUCAUAAUAUGCUUAAAUCAAGGAUGGCUUAAGUUUCCUUUGGAUGGGUGACUCGUGACCUAAUUUUUGAGCUCUUUUUUUAUGGUUAAUUUUCUGCUUGAAAAAUGCGAAUCUGAGCCUCCAUUUAUAUUCUUAAAUAAAGGUCAGGCAUUAGCUUUACAUUUGGUGAAUGUUGUUGGUAUGUGGACAAAGUUUGGCAUAAUUUUGAUCCUUUUUUCUCAUGUUGGCAACAGCCCUUACGCCAAUAUAUCUGCUUUCUUUCUUGUGUGUGUGAUUGGCUGUCUGGCGAACUUUGGGUGGGUGACUCUUGAGCUUCUGAUUUUGAGCUCUUUUGUGAUUUCAAUCUUCUGCUUGAAAAAGGCAAAUCUGAGCCUCCUUUUCCAUGCUUAAAAUCAAGGUCGGCUUUAGUUUGUUUUGGUUGGGUGACUCGUGAGUUUCUGAUUUUGAGCUCUUUUGUGAUGUUAAAUCUUCUGCUUGGAAAAGGCGAAUAUGAGCCUCCUUUUGAAUGCUUAAAUCAAGCAUGCUUGAGUUUACUUUUGUUGGGCGACUCGUGAGCUUCUGAUUUUGAGCUCUUUUGUGAUAUUCAAUCUUCUGCUUGAAAAAGGCGAAUCUGAGCCUCCUUCUAUACACUUAAAUCGAGGUCGGCUUUAGGUUGCCUUGGGUGGGUGACUCGUGAGCUUCUGAUUUUGAUCUCUUUCGUGAUGUUCAUUCUUCUGCUUUAAAAAGGCGAGUUUGCUCUCGUUUUAUAUGCUUAAGUGAUUGUUGGCUUUUAGAUUGCUUUGGGCGGUGACUCGUGAGCUUCUGAUUUUGAGCUACUUUAUGAUGUGCAAUCUUCUGCUUGAGAAAGGCGAAUUUGAGCCUCCUUUUAUAUGCUUAAAUCAAGGUUGGCUUUAGUUUGCUUUGGAUGGGUGACUCGUGACCUUCAAAUUUUUUAGCUCUUUUUUAUGUUUAAUCUUCUGCUUGAAAAAGGCGAAUCUGAGCCUCCUUUUAUAUUCUUAAAUAAAGGUCAGGCUCUAGUUUGACAUUUGGUGAAUGUUGUUGGUUUGUGGACAAAGUUUGGCAUAAUUUUGAUCCUUUUUUCUCAUGUUUGCAACAGCCCUUAUGCCAAUAUAAUCUGCUUUCUUUCUUGUGCGUUUGAUUGGCUGUCUGGUGAACUUUGGGUGGGUGACUCUUGAGCUUUUGAUUUUGAGCUCUUUUGUGAUUUCAAUCUUUUGCUUGAAAAAGGUGAAUCUGAGCCUCCUUUUCUAUACUUAAAUCAAGGUUGGCUGUAGUUUAUUUUGGUUGGGUGACUCGUGAGUUUCUGAUUUUGAGCUCUUUUGUGAAUUAAAUCUUCUGUAAUCUGAGCCUCCUUUUAGAUGCUUAAAUCCAGGUCGGCUUGAGAUUGCCUUGGGUGGGUGACUCGUGAGCUUGUGAUUUGAUCUCUUUUGUGAUGUUCAAUCUUCUAAUUAAAAAAGGCGAAUCUGAUCCUCCUUUUAUAUGCUUAAAUCAAGGUUGGCUUUAGUUUGCUUUGGAUGGGUGACUCGUGACCUUCAAAUUUCUGAGCUCUUUUUUAUGUUUAAUCUUCUUCUUGAAAAAUGUGAAUCUGAGUCUCCUUUUAUAUGCUUAAAUCAAGGUCGGCUUUAGUUUUACAUUCGGUGAAUGUUGUUGGUUGGUGAACAAAGUUUGGCAUAAUUUUGAUCAUUGUUUCUCAUGUUGGCAACUGCCCUUACGCCAAUAUAUCUGCUUUCUUUCUUUCUUGUGUGUGUGAGUGGCUGUCUGGCAAACUUUGGCUGGGUGACUCGUGAGCUUCUGAUUUGAGCUCUUUUGUGAUGUUUACUCUUCUGCUUGAAAAUGCGAAUUUCAGCCUCCUUUUGUAUGCUUAAAUCAAUGUUGGCUUCAGUUUUACAUUCAGUGAAUGUUGUUGGUAUGUAAACAAAGUUUAGCAUAAUAUGGAUCCUUGUUUCUCAUGUUGGCGUUGUUGGUAUGUGGACAAAGUUUGGCAUAAUUUUGAUCCUUGUUUCUCAUGUUGGCGUUGUUGGUAUGUGGACAAAGUUUGGCAUAAUUUUGAUCCUUGUUUCUCAUGUUGGCGUUGUUGGUAUGUGGACAAAGUUUGGCAUAAUUUUGAUCCUUGUUUCUCAUGUUGGCGUUGUUGGUAUGUGGACAAAGUUUGGCAUAAUUUUGAUCCUUGUUUCUCAUGUUGGCGUUGUUGGUAUGUGGACAAAGUUUGGCAUAAUUUUGAUCCUUGUUUCUCAUGUUGGCGUUGUUGGUAUGUGGACAAAGUUUGGCAUAAUUUUGAUCCUUGUUUCUCAUGUUGGCGUUGUUGGUAUGUGGACAAAGUUUGGCAUAAUUUUGAUCCUUGUUUCUCAUGUUGGCGUUGUUGGUAUGUGGACAAAGUUUGGCAUAAUUUUGAUCCUUGUUUCUCAUGUUGGCGUUGUUGGUAUGUGGACAAAGUUUGGCAUAAUUUUGAUCCUUGUUUCUCAUGUUGGCGUUGUUGGUAUGUGGACAAAGUUUGGCAUAAUUUUGAUCCUUGUUUCUCAUGUUGGCGUUGUUGGUAUGUGGACAAAGUUUGGCAUAAUUUUGAUCCUUGUUUCUCAUGUUGGCGUUGUUGGUAUGUGGACAAAGUUUGGCAUAAUUUUGAUCCUUGUUUCUCAUGUUGGCGUUGUUGGUAUGUGGACAAAGUUUGGCAUAAUUUUGAUCCUUGUUUCUCAUGUUGGCGUUGUUGGUAUGUGGACAAAGUUUGGCAUAAUUUUGAUCCUUGUUUCUCAUGUUGGCGUUGUUGGUAUGUGGACAAAGUUUGGCAUAAUUUUGAUCCUUGUUUCUCAUGUUGGCGUUGUUGGUAUGUGGACAAAGUUUGGCAUAAUUUUGAUCCUUGUUUCUCAUGUUGGCGUUGUUGGUAUGUGGACAAAGUUUGGCAUAAUUUUGAUCCUUGUUUCUCAUGUUGGCGUUGUUGGUAUGUGGACAAAGUUUGGCAUAAUUUUGAUCCUUGUUUCUCAUGUUGGCGUUGUUGGUAUGUGGACAAAGUUUGGCAUAAUUUUGAUCCUUGUUUCUCAUGUUGGCGUUGUUGGUAUGUGGACAAAGUUUGGCAUAAUUUUGAUCCUUGUUUCUCAUGUUGGCGUUGUUGGUAUGUGGACAAAGUUUGGCAUAAUUUUGAUCCUUGUUUCUCAUGUUGGCGUUGUUGGUAUGUGGACAAAGUUUGGCAUAAUUUUGAUCCUUGUUUCUCAUGUUGGCGUUGUUGGUAUGUGGACAAAGUUUGGCAUAAUUUUGAUCCUUGUUUCUCAUGUUGGCGUUGUUGGUAUGUGGACAAAGUUUGGCAUAAUUUUGAUCCUUGUUUCUCAUGUUGGCGUUGUUGGUAUGUGGACAAAGUUUGGCAUAAUUUUGAUCCUUGUUUCUCAUGUUGGCGUUGUUGGUAUGUGGACAAAGUUUGGCAUAAUUUUGAUCCUUGUUUCUCAUGUUGGCGUUGUUGGUAUGUGGACAAAGUUUGGCAUAAUUUUGAUCCUUGUUUCUCAUGUUGGCGUUGUUGGUAUGUGGACAAAGUUUGGCAUAAUUUUGAUCCUUGUUUCUCAUGUUGGCGUUGUUGGUAUGUGGACAAAGUUUGGCAUAAUUUUGAUCCUUGUUUCUCAUGUUGGCAACAGCCCUUAUAUCAGUAUAUUUGCUUUCUUUCUUUCUUAUGGGUGUGAGUGGCUAUCUGGCGAACUUUGGGUGAGUGACUCGUGAGCUUCUGAUUUUUAACUUUUUUGUGAUGUUCAAUCCUCUACUUGAAAAAGGUGAAUUGGAGCCUCCUUUUAUAUGCUUAAAUCAAGGGUGGCUUGGCUUUGGUUGGGUGACUCAUGGCCUACAUUCACCGAAUGUUGUUGGUUUGUGAAUAAAGUUUUGCGUAAUUUUGAUCCUUGUUUCUCAUGUUGGCAACAGCCCUUACACGAAUAUAUGUGCUUUCUUUCUUGUGUGUCUGAGUGGCUGUCUGGCGAACUUUGGGUGGGUGACUCUGUGACCUUCUGAUUUUGAGCAGUUUUGUGAUGUUCAGUCUUCUGCUUGAAAAAGGCAAAUCUCAGCCUCUUUUUGUUUGCUUAAAUCCAGGUCGGUUUUAGUUUUACAUUCGGUGAAUGGUAUGUGAACAAAGUUUGGGGUAAUUUUUAUCCUCCUUGUUCUUGGUAUGUGAACAAAGUUUGACAUAAUUUUGAUCCUUGUUUCUCAUGUUGGCAACAGCCCUUAUACCAAUAUAUCUGCUUUCUUCCUUGUGUGUGUGGCUGUCUGUCGAACUUUGGGUAGGUAACUCGUGAACUUCUGAUUUUGUACUUUGUUGUGAUGUUCAAUCUUCUGUUUGAAAAAGGCGAAUCAGAGCCUCGUUUUAUAUGCUUAAAUAAAGGUUGUCUUUAGUUUUACAUUCGGUGAAUGUUGUUUGUAUCUGAACAAUGUUUGGCAUAAUUUUGAUCCUUGUUUCUCAUGUUGGCAACAACCCUUAUACCAAUAUAUCACCUUUAUUGUGUGUGUGAGUGGCUGUCUGGAGAAUUUUGGGUGGGUGACUUGUGAGCUCCUAAUUUUGAGCUCUUUUGUGAUGUUCAAUCUUCUGCUUGGAAAAGGCGAAUUUGAGCCUCCUUUUAUAUGCUUAAAUGAUGGUCGGUUUUAGUUUUACAUUCGUUGAAUGUUGUUGGUAUGAGAACAAAGUUGGGCACAAUUUUGAUUUUUGUUUCACAUGAUGGCAACAGCCCGUAUACCAAUAUAUCUGCUUUCUUUCUUGUGUGUGUGAGUGAGUCUCCGGCGAACUUUGGGGGGUGACUCGUGAGCUCUUUUGUGAUAUUCAAUCUUCUGCUUGAAAGAUGCGAAUUUGAGUCUCCUUUUAUAUGCUUAAACAAAAGUCAGCUUUAGUUUUACAUUCGGUGAAUGUUGUUGGUAUGAGAACAAAGUUGGGCACAAUUUUGAUUUUUGUUUCACAUGAUGGCAACAGCCCGUAUACCAGUAUAUCUGCUUUCUUUCUUGUGUGUGUGAGUGAGUCUCCGGCGAACUUUGGGGGGUGACUCGUGAGCUCUUUUGUGAUAUUCAAUCUUCUGCUUGAAAGAUGCGAAUUUGAGUCUCCAGCGAACUUUGGUGGGGGACUCGGGAGCUUCUGAUUUUGAGCUCUUGUGUGAUGUUCAAUCUUCUGCUUGAAAAAUGCGAAUUUGAGUCUCCUUUUAUAUGCUUAAACAAAAGUCAGCUUUAGUUUUACAUUGGAUGCUUUUUUUAUUUUUUUGGUAUGUGAACAAAGUUUGGCAUUAUUUUGAUCCUUUUUUUUCAUUUUGCCAACUGCCCUCAUACGAAUAUAUCUGCUUUCUUUCUUGUGUGUGGUUGUCUGGCGAACUUUGGGGGGGGGACUCGUGAGUUUGUUUUUGAGUUCUUUUGUGAUGGUGGGUGACUCGUGAGUUUGUUUUUGAGUUCUUUUGUGAUGUUCAAUCUUCUGAUUGAAAAAGGCUAGUCUGAGCCUCCUUUUCUAUGCUUAAAAUCAAGGUCGGCUUUUUAGUUUACUUUGGUGAGGUGACUCUGUGAGCUUCUGAUUUUGAGUGUUUUUUGUGAUGUUCAAUCUUCUGCUUGAAAAUUGCGAAUUUGAGUCUCCUUUUAUUUGCUUAGAUCAAGGUCGGCUUAGUUUUACAUUCGGUGAAUGUUGUUGGUAUGUGAACAAAGUUUGGUAUAAUUUUGAUACUUGUUUCUCAUGUUGGCAACAGCCCUAACACCAAUAUAUUUUCUUUCUUUCUUGUGUGUGUGAGUGGCUGUCUGGCAAACUUUGGGUGGGUGACUCGUGAGCUUCUUAUUUGAGCUCUUUUGUGAUGUUCAUUCUUCUACUUGAAAAUGCGAAUUUGAGCCUCCUUUUGUAUGCUUAAGUCGAUGUCGGCUUUAGUUUUACAUUCAAUGAAUGUUGUUGGUACGUGAACAAAGUUUGGCAUAAUAUGGAUCCUUGUUUCUCAUGUUGGCAACAGCCCUAACACCAAUAUAUUUUCUUUCUUUCUUGUGUGUGUGAGUGGCUGUCUGGCAAACUUUGGGUGGGUGACUCGUGAGCUUCUUAUUUGAGCUCUUUUGUGAUGUUCAUUCUUCUACUUGAAAAUGCGAAUUUGAGCCUCCUUUUGUAUGCUUAAGUCGAUGUCGGCUUUAGUUUUACAUUCAAUGAAUGUUGUUGGUACGUGAACAAAGUUUGGCAUAAUAUGGAUCCUUGUUUCUCAUGUUGGCAACAGCCCUUAUACCAAUAUAUUUGCUUCUUUCUUGUGGGUGUGAGUGGCUGUUUGGCGAACUUUGUGUGGGUGACUCGUGAGCUUCUAAUUUUUAGCUCUUUUGUGAUGUUCAAUCUUCUGCUUGAAACAGGCGAAUCGGAGCUUCCUUUUAUAUGCUUGAAUCAAGGCCGGCUUGAGUUUACUUUUGUUGGGUGACUCGUGAGCUUCUGAAUUUGAGCUCUUUUGUGAUGUUCAAUCUUCUACUUGAAAAAGGCGAAUUUGAGUCUCCUUUUAUUAACUCAAGGUUUGCUUUAGUUUUACAUUCACCGAAUGUUGUUGGUUUGUGAAUAAAGUUUUGCGUAAUUUUGAUCCUUAUGUGAACAAAAGUUUCGCAUAAUUUUGAUCCUUGUUUCUCACGUUGCCAACAGCUCUUAUACCAAUAUAUUUGCUUUCUUAUUUGUGUGCGAGUGGCUGUCUGGGGAGCUUUGGGUGGGUGACUGGUGAGCUUUUAAUUUUGAGCUCUUUUCUGAUGUUCAAUUUUAUGCUUGAAAAAGGCGAAUCUGAGUCUCCUUUUAUAUGCUUUUAGAUCAAGAUUGGCUUUGGUUUACCUUGUUUAGGUGACUCGUGAGCUUCUGAUUUUGAGCUCUUUUGUGAUGUUCAAUCUUCUGCUUGAAUAAGGCGAAUCUUAGCCUCCUUUUAUAUGCAAAACAAGGUCUGCCUUAGUUUUACAUUCGGUGAAUGUUGUUCGUAUGUGAAUAAGGUUUGGCAUUAUUUUGAUCCUUAUUUCUCAUGUUGCCAAUAGCCCUUAUAUGAAUGUAUCUGCUUUCUUUCUUGUGUGUGUGAGUGGCUGUGUGGCGAACAUUGGGUGGGUGACUCGUGAGCUUCUGAUUUUGAGCUGUUUUGUGAUGUUCAAUCUUCUGCUUGAAAAAGGCGAAUCUCAGCCUCUUUUUGUUUGCUUUAGUUUUACAUUCGGUGAAUAUUGUUGGUAUGUGAACAAAGUUUGGCGUAAUUUUGAUCUUUCUUGUUGUUGAUAUGUGAACAAAGUUUGGCAUAAUUUUGAUCCUUGUUUCUCAUGUUGCCAACAGCCCUUAUACCAAUAUAUCUGCUUUCUUUUGGGUGUGUGAGUGGCUGUCUGGCGAACUUUGGGUGGGUGACUCGUGAGCUUUUGAUUGUGAGCUAUUUUGUGAUGUUCAAUUUUAUGCUUGAAAAAGGCGAAUUUGAGUCUCCUUUUAUAUACUUUUAAAUCAAGGUCGGCUCUCGUUUACCUUGGUUAGGUGAAUCGUGAGCUCCUGAUUUUGUGCUCUUUUGUGAUGUUCAAUCUUCUGCUUGAAAGAGGCUAAUCUUAGCCUCCUUUUAUAUGCAAAACAAGGUCAGCUUUAGUUUUACAUUCGGUGAAUUUUGUUCGAAUGUGAAAUAAGUUUUGCAUUAUUUUAAUCCUUGUUUCUCAUGUUGCCAACAGCCCUUAUAGGAAUAUAUAUGCUUUCUUUUUUGUGUGUGAGUGGCUGUGUGGUGAACUUUGGGUGGGUGACUCGAGAGCUUCUGAUUUGAGCUGUUUUGUGACUCGAGAGCCUGUUUUUGUUUGCUUAAAUCAAGGUCGGCUUUAGUUUUAUAUUCGGUGAAUGUUUUUAGUAUGUGAACAAAGUUUGGCGUAAUUUUGAUCCUUCUUGUUGUUGGUAUGUGAGCAAAGUUUGGCAUAAUUAUGAUCCUUAUUUCUCAUGUUGGCAACUGCCCUUGUACCAAUUUAUCUGCUUUCUUUCUUGUGUGUGGCUGUUUGGUGAACUUUGUGUAGGUGACUCGUGAGCUUCUGAUUUUGAGCUCUGUUGUGAUGUUUCAAUCUACUGCUUAAAAAAGGUGAAUCUGAUCCUCCUCUUUAUGCUUAAAUCAAGGUCGGCUUUAGUUUUAGAUUCGGUGAAUGUUGUUGGUAUGCAAACAAAGUUUAGCAUAAUUUUGAUCAUUGUUUCUCAUGUUGGCCACAGCCCUUGUACCAAUACCUAUCUGCUAUUUUUCUUGUGUGUGAGUGGCUGUUUUGCGAACUUUUGGUGGGUGACUCGUGAGCUUCUGAUUUUGAGCUCUUUUGUGAUCCAUUUUUUGCUUAAAAAAGAUGAAUCUUAUCCUCCUUUUACAUGCUUGAAUCUAGGUUGGCUUUGGGAGGUGUAUGGCUUCGGGGUGAGAUUUUUUAUCAUUAGUUUGCCCUGUGAGGUGGAUGGUUUCGGGGUGAUAGACUAGAUUUGAUCACAGUAGAGAAUGUUCAAAAUGAAAACAAAACAAAACUCACUAACAGCUGGUAUGCAUAUUUUAGAUAAAAAACGUAGAAAUAAUGCAACAACAACGUGGUCAAGUAUUUUGACUUAGCUGCAUUUAAGGCCACAUCGGUGAGCUCUGAUUUAUCAUCUUUAACGUUUCAUGUCACUUUAUUUUAAAGAUGGUACUUUUGGGUAAAUUGCAUGUGAGAUGUUCCAUUAUUUUAAAGAUGGAAGUGAAAUUUUUCUUUCGAGCGGUGAUACAUGAUUCGAAUGUAGGGGAGUUUUUUAAAAUUUUUGGUGGAACCCAGAUGACUCGCCAGCUAUUAGUAUGCGGGUAGGUUAUUUGGUAGUUAAUUUUGCUAACUUAGAUAUUUAUUUAUGUUAAUUACUGUAGCUAACUAUAAUUCCCUGGUAUAAUUAACUAUAGUUGUUUAGUUUAUGAACUUAAUUAGUAGUUAAUUAGCAAUGUUAAAUGCUUUAACUUAGAUAUAUAUUAGCUUAAUUACUAGUCAACUAUAGUUAGUAAUUUUAGAUAAAUCUUCAUAGCCAUAAUGACGUAGAUAAUCUACUUAGUUUGAGUAGUUAAUUAAGAAAAUCUAGUGAUUAACUAUAGUUGCUUAGUUUACGAACUUAGGUAGUCUUCUUGAACGUGGAGACUUGGAUUAGUAAAAUCGGAAAAUCCAACUCAAUAGAUUAAGUAAGAUAUAAUUCUAGUUAAGAAUAGGAGUAUAUAUGCUCAUUUUUAUUAUUAAAAGUUAAUACUCAUUUUUAAUGAUUAAUAAUUAUUAAACUCUCAAUUUUUACAAGUCAGUAAGAAUAGGAGUAUAUAUGCUGAUUUUGUGGCCCAUGCAAAAUCGAGUACCCCAAAGUCAAAUCUGCAUGGACGAUAGGCGCCCGUUUUCGUCAAACUAAACCCGUGCUUUUACAUUUAUAACCUUCCCAGUACAUUAUAUUUGUCUUUUUAACAGAAUAAAGCAUGCGCCACUUAUUUUUUUUUUUUCAGUAUGAUAUUACGUGAAGAAGGUUGGAUUCGAACUAUAUCAUUAGCGUUUUAUUUUACAAAGGUUGAGAGGCUUUUUUUACUUUUUUUGAGAAGCAACUGCUCAUUUAAAUCUUCCAUCAUUUUAAAAUUUUCCUUCAUGAUUCUUCUAUUGCUUUUGCUCAAAACAGUACACUUUUUCAAAUUAAAUUUAAUAAUAACUAUCUUUAGAGUUUGAGUUUUAUGUAUAAAACAGAAAGGUUGUUUUGAUAUUUAGUUAAUCCCACUAUUGAAAUAAUAGUUUUUAUGUUUUUUCAACCAUUUAAAAGUUAUUUCACUGAACCAUUUUUGCAAGUUAAGUUCAGAGAAAAUUUCGAAUUAACUAAGAGGUUUUUAAUAUUUAACAAUUUUUUUUAGUUUAAUUACUAUCAAUACUAUUAAUAUUUUGAUUUUGAUUUGUUUCAUUUUCAGUUUUAUUAUAAUUCUAUCAAUAUUUUAAUCUAUUAUUCUAUCAAUGUUUUGGUCUUUUUAUUAAUAUUUGGAUACUUCUAAUGAAAAUUGUCUAUUUUCAUUUUCAGUUUUAUUAUAACUCAACUGUUAUCGAAAAUUGUCUAUUUUCAUUUUUGUUAAUUGCGUAUGAGGUUUUUUAACUUGUGAUUUUUAAAUUAUAAUUCAACUAUUCUACUAUGUAUGAAUGUGAAAAUAGGAGAGUCUUUCGCUUUUUCGCACUUGAUAAAUAUAGGAAUAAAGGCUGAUUUGGUUCUUAGUAUGGUCAAAAAGGUCAGGUUGGACCUUUGGGGCUAAAUUAGCCCUUGAAUUAGUAUAAAAUGAUAAAAAAGAUUUUAUUUCACUUUUUAGGUUCAAGUUAAUUAAUUUCUGAAUUUAUUUAAAUUUGCUGAAAAUCAUAUUUGACAUUUUGAAUUGAUUUAAUUUCUAAUUUUUUAUUGUGCUUAUAUUGUGAAAAACCAUAAUAAUUAAUAAUAAUGUAUAAAUAUAUAUUAUGUUAAUUUAAAAUUAACCUCUAUUAUGAUAUUACUCGUGCGUUUUUCGUGUUGGAUAAAUUGAAGUUAUAAUGAAUAUUUAUAAAUUUAUUAUAUUACACAAUGUUUUUAUGUUGAAUAGAUAGAUUGAAGUUAUAAUGAAUAUUCAUAAAUUUAUUAUAUUACAAAAAAUGAUGUUUUGUGAAUUUAAAUUUAUAUUCAUAUUUGUCGAAAAAGUUAGAUCUAAGUGUUGGUAGUGUAAAAAUAGAUAAAAAAUCAAUGAUACUAUAUUAAAUUAAAUUAAAUUAAUUAUUAAUUUAUAAAAAUAAAAAAAGUUUAAGGGUUACAUUCGUUAAAAAGUGACAUGGAAUUUUUUUAAUUAUUUUAUAUAAGUUAGAGAAUAUAAAUAAUAUUUUAUUUAGAAGAUAUAUUAUGAAAAAAAAUGUUUUUUUACUUUUUUUUUUUUGUGGUUGUGUGAAAAAUUGAGGGUUUAUUUGGAUAGAUGAUUGUUUUACGUGAAUUUUUUAUUGAUCGACAAAUACAUAAUUAAGAAUUUCAAAAUUCUAUGCUUUAUCUUUUUUUAAUUUAUUUUUUAAUAAGUAUAUAUAUGAUGAUGAGACAUGUUAAUUUUUAUAUUUUAUUUUUUAAAAUAUUUGAAUUUAUUUUAAUUAUAAUUUAAAAUAUUUAGGGGAGAGAAAUAAAUAUAUUGUUUUUAAUUUUCUUUUUUUUUUUUUACAUUUAUAUGAUUUUAUAGGAUAUGUUUUUAAAAAAUAAAUUUUCAAAUAGCAAGAGAAAAAAAACAAAAAUUGUAUUCUUCGUAAUCUUCUAUUUAUUAAUAAAAUUUUUUAUUGAAAUUACUUGAUUUAUUUAUUUAUUUUAAAUUUAUAACUCACCAAUAUUGGGAACAUAAUUUGCUUUUUCAUUUAUUGACUUAGCUUUAGUCCUUUUUCAGAUUUUUGAAAUUCAAAUUGAUAAUUUUCUUUUCUUGUUAUAUAUUUUGAGAAGAGUUUUAUUCUAAAUAAUAGUUUUAUUAUCACUUUUAACAAGAAAAAUAGAUGAUCUUUUUAUGAUUAAGUAUUUUUAACAUUUUGAUAUUUUUUCUCUUAUAUUCUAAAUCUGUUUGACUAAAAAUAAAAUAAAAAAAUAAUAUUUAUGAUAUUGAAAAAAAAAAAAAGAAUUAUAUUUUAGGGCACUUUUGGGGUUUCAAGAAUUUGUGUAUACAUAUAUUUUUUUUAUCUAAUACACUGGGUGAAGAAUUAUCAUAAUUUGAUUUUUUUUUUUUUUUUAAAUACCAUAAUUGAACGUUAAAAUUAUUAGAAAAUAAGAGAGACAAAAGAAAAAUAUUAAAAAAGGAGAAAAUAUUAGAAAAUAUUAGGAAGUGUCACAUUAACACUUGCAAAAGCUCAAUGUUAUUAUGUAUAUAAUGGCCUUUAUCUUUACUUAAAUUUUAAAUUUAAAUAUACUAGUGUUUAUUUUAAUAUGAUAAACAAUGUUUAAAAGGCAAGUAUAUUUAAUAAAAUAAUUAUAGACUAUAAAUGAAAAAUUAUUAUUAAUUAUAAGAUUAGACUUCAAUUUUUUUAAAAUGAUAAUGUUAAACUUUAAUUAGAACCGAUUUGAAAAAAAAAAAAAAAACUAAAUAAUAUGAUCCUAUGUUAUUGAAUAUUGAUUUGAGUUGUUGAAAAACUUAUAUAUAUAUAUAUAUAUAUAUAACAUGUGAAUGGUAUUUUUUAAAUAUGUUUUUAUAUAUUCUUUGUAUUUUAAAUUUUAUUUUAAAAUUAAAAUAAUAAUCUGUUUUUUCAAAUAAUUAAUAUGGUAAAAUAAUCAAUCAUUGAAAAAAGCUCUAAAAAUAAAGUUUGAUUCUAAUUAUCUAGUCAAUUAAUAAAUGAGUUGAGUUUGAGUUCAGAUUCGAGCUUAUUUUUAAUUAUGGACAUGAUAAAUUUUCUAAUUUUAAAAUAUUAACACCUGUAUUAUUCAAUGCUUGAAAUUCAGCUUUAAAAUCUUAAAAUUUAAUUUUUCAAUUUCACUAAAAAUGACGCAGAAACAUAAUCAUUUAAAGUAUUAAUUAUAAUAAACAUGAUAAAAUGAUCCAAUAAAUAUAAUAGAUAUAUAAAUAGUUUAAGUGUUUGGUAAAUUGGCAAAAGAAAAAUAUAUAUAUGAAAAAUAAAUAGUUGAGUGUUUGGUAAAAUUACUUAAAUUUUACUUUUAAUAGUUACUUAAAAAUAAUUUAAUCUAUCAAAAUUACUAAAAAUGAUAUUAGUUAAAUAAUAAGCUAAUUAAAAAUAAGGGUAGUGUUUGAAUGAAUAAAAAAGCAUAAGCAGAAACAAACACGCAAUUGUUUGAAUGAAUAAAAAGCAUAAGCAGAAACUUGAAAUUCUAUACUAAACUUUUAGAUUUCCUCAUGUGAACAUUAUUAAGCAUUCUUUUUCUAUUAUUUCUCCUUUUGGUGGCUAUGUGAUCGGUGGUGAACAGUGAUGGUAACAUUGUCUACGAUGAUUAAUAAAUUUAAAAAUAUAAAUUUAUAAGAUUAUAAUAAGUUUAUUAAUUUUCGAAAUAUAUUUUAUUCUUUUGAAAAUAGGAAAUCAUUUUCCUUAAAAAUGACUUAAUUUUUCGUAAUCGAUAAAAUAUUUUCUAUUGAUUUAUUUUCUUAAAUCCGUCAAGCAAUAAAAAAUUAUGAAAAAUAUUUUUUUUUUUUGACAUAAAUAGGAAAUCGUUAUUUUAAUGAAAUAAAUAUAGCCUAAUUAAAUUUUUUUUGACAACCAUACAUAUUAUUCUUUUUUCCCAAAUCUAGCUAGUUAAAUAUCGAAUGUUAUUUUUUAUUAUUUAAUCAAGUUAAACAGCUAAUUAUACAAUUAUUUUUAUCAAACACUUACAAUUUAAACUAACAUACGAUCAGCUACCGGUUAAAAGCUAAUAGUUAACUUCUAAUAAAUGUUAAUUCUACUAAAAUAACUAAUAUUGUUGAAAAUCCUUACUAAAAUAACUAUAUUAUUUUGAUACAUUUAAUCUCUUCAUCAAUAAAGGCUAUUUUAAAUUUACUUCUUCUAUUUUAGUUUUGGCAGUUGAGUUACCAAAUAGAGCUUCUUUAUUAUCAACUUGUUUAAAUCUCAAAUAAAAAAAUGUCAUUGCUUUUGUAUAUUUCCUCUCUUGUGUUUUGCACUAAAUUGCUUGGUUUAAAAGAAAAACUAGUGUUGCAAUUCGUGCGAUAUGCAAAGCUAUAUUAAAUGAUGAAAUGAUCUUUUAUAACAUCAUUCAAAAAUAUUAUACAAUAAAAUAAUCAAUUGUAUCUUAUUGAGAUACGUUGAAAAGUUGCAAUAUUAAAAUAUGUCUUCUUAAGCAUCAUGUGAAGUCUUUUAUAAAGUAUACGAUAGCAAAAAUCAUGCAUGGUAUGAUCUAUAUCAAAAAAUGCAUACACACUAUUAAUGUAAUUUUCAGAAGUGAUAAUAAUUUUGAGAAUUUAACUAAUUAUAUUGAAAUAAAAAAUUAAAUAUAUUUUUUAUCUUAUGCUUAUGAUUUAUUACUUUAUUUAGUAUAGUGUGUCUUAAACGUGUGGAUAUCUUACUUUUUAAAAAAUUAUCAUAUCAUGUACAUUCUCGUAUCUCGUGUAGCGUGUGCGUGCAACCUAUCUUUUAGUAUAUGAGACUACUCCAUACACUAAGUUAAUCAACUAAGGUUUUUUUAUUACUAAUAAAAAAUUAUGUGUUUUUUUUAAUUUAUUUUUGUGCUAUUGAAAUAAGAGAUUAAGUUUUUUUUUUAACUUUUAUGUUUAUAAUUUAUUAUAAAUAAUUAUUUAUUUAUUUAUUUACAAUAUUAAUGUAUUACUUAUUUAGUGUAGUGUGUCCUACGUGUGUAGACGUUUUACCUUUUUUAAAAUUGUUGUACCCCAUAUAUUCUCGUCUCUCAUGUCUCAUGUCCGUGCAACCUAACUUCGGGUAUAUAAGACUACUUCAUACACCAAGCUAAUCAACCAAAAUUUUUUCUUAUUACCAAUAAAAAAAGACGUGUUUUUUUCUAAUUUGUUUUUGUGUCAUUGAAAUAACAAAUUAAGUAUUUUUUAUGUUCAUGAUUUUUUAUAAAUGAUUAUUUAUUUAUUUGAAAUAUCAAUAUAUUACUUAUUUAAUGUAGUGUAUCCUAAGCAUGUGGAUGUUCUACUUUUAAAAAUUGUAAUCCGUAUGUUUCCAUAUCUUAUGUCUUGUGUUCAUGCAACCUAGCUUCUGGUAUAUGAGACUACUCCAUACACCAAGCUAAUCAACCAAGAUUUUUUUUUAUUACCAACAAAAAUGAUGUGUUUUUUUUAUUUUUUUUUUGUGGCGUUCAAAUAAAAAAUUAAGAAUUUUUUAUCUUAUGUUUAUAACUCAUUAUAAAUGAUUGUUUAUUUAUUUAAAAUAUCAAUGUAUUACUUAUUUAAUAUACUAUGUCCUUGUGGAUGUCUUACCUUUUUAAAAAUUAUUGUAUCUUGCACGUUUCUGUAUCUCAUGUCCUGUGUUCGGAUAACCUAACUCCUGGUAUAUAAGACUACUCAAUAAAUCAAGUUGAUCAACCAAGAAUUUUUUUACUAUCAAUAAAGAAUGAAGUAUUUUUUUUAAUUUGUUUUUGCGUCGUUGAAAUAAGAAAUUAACUUUUUUAUUUUAUGUUUAUAAUUUAUUACAAAUGAUUGUUUAUUUAUUUUCUUUCAGUAUGUUCUAAGCGUGUGAUUGUCCUAAUUUUCUAAAAAUUAUCGUACCACGUACGUUUCCGUAUAUUGUGUCCUGUAUUCAUAUAACUUAGCUCUUGAUAUAUGAAACUACUUCACACAUCAAGCUAAUCAAUCAAUUUUUUUUAUUACCAAUAAAAAUGAAGUCUUUUUUUCAAUUUAUUUUUGUGUCAUUGAAAGAAGAUUUUUUUUUUUCAUUUUAUGUUUAUGAUUUAUUAUAAAUGAUUAUUUAUUUAUUUAAAAUAUUAAUGUAUUACUUAUUUAAAGUAUUGUGUCCUAAGUAUGUGGAUGUCCUACCUUUUUAAAAAAUUGUCGUAUUCGUACGUUCCUGUAUCUUGUGUCCCGUGUCUGUGCAAUAUGGCUCCUGGCAUAUGAGACUACUCAAUACACCAAGCUAACAAAGGUUUUUUCUUAGUACCAAUAAAAAUGAAGUGUUUUUUUAAUUUAUUUUUGUGUCACUGAAAUAAGAAAUUUAGUUUUGUUUAUUUUAUAUUUAUGAUUUAUUAUAAAUUAUUGUUUAUUUAUUUGAAAUAUUAAUAUAUUACUUAUUUAGUGUAUUGUGUUCUAAGCGUGUAAAUAUCCUAUCUUUUUAAAAAAUUAUCGUAUUCGUACGUUCUUGUAUCUUGUGUCCUAUAUCCGUAUAACCUAGCUCUUGAUAUAUUAAACUACUCAACACACCAAGCUAAUUAACCAAGAUUUUUUUAUUACCAAUAAAAAAUGAAAUUUUUUUUAAUUUGUUUUUUGUGUCAUUGAAAUAAGAAAUUAACUCUUUUUAUUUUAUGUCUGUAAUUAUUGUAAAUGAUUAUUUAUUUAUUUAAAAUAUUAAUAUAUUACUUAUUUACUAUAAUGUGUCCUAAGCGUGUGAUUAUCCUAUUUUUUUAAAAAUAGUCGUAUCACGUGCGUUCCUGUAUCUCAUGUCUCGUGUUCAUACAACCUACCUCAUGGUAUAUGAGACUACUUCAAGCUAAUCAACCUAGAUUUUUUUUGUUACCAAUAAAAAUGAAGUGUUUUUUUAAUUUAUUUUUGUGUUCUUGAAAUAAUAAAUUUAGUAUUUUUUAUUUUAUGUUUAUGAUUUAUUAUAAAUUAUUGUUUAUUUAUUUGAACUAUUAAUGUAUUGUGUAUUAAGUGUGUGGAUAUCCUACCUUUUUAAAAAAUUAUUGUAUUCGUACGUUCCUGUAUCUCGUGUCUCUUGUUCGUGCAAUAUGACUCACUGUAUAUGAGACUACUCAAUACACUAAGCUAAUCAAUCAAGAUUUUUUUAUUAGCAAUAAAAAUGAAGUAUUUUUUAAUUUAUUUUUGUAUCACUGAAAUAAGAAAUUUAGUGUUUUUUUUUAUUUUAUGUUUAUGAUUUAUUAUAAAUGAUUGUUUAUUUAUUUGAAAUAUUAAUGCAUGACUUAUUUAGUGUAUUGUGUUCUAAGCGUGUGGAUUAUCCUAUCUUUUUAAAAAAUUGUCGUAUUCGCACGUCCAUGUAUCUCGUGUCCCAUGUCCGUGUAACCUAGCUCCUAGUAUAUGAAACUACUCAAUACAUCAAGCUAAUCAACUAAUAGUUUUUUUAUUACUAAUAAAAAAUAAAUUUUUUUAAUUUGUUUUUUGUAUCAUUGAAAUAAGAAAUUAACAUUUUUUUAUUUUAUGUUUAUAAUUUAUUAUAAAUGAUUGUUUAUUUAUUUAAAAUAUUGAUAUAUUACUUAUUUAGUGUAAUGUAUCCUAAGCGUGUUAAUGUCCUACUUUUUCAAAACUUAUCAUAUCACGUACGGUCGCGUAUUCCGUGUCAUGUGUUCGUACAACCUAACUCCUGGUAUAUAAGACUAUUCCAUACACCAAACAAAUCAACCAAGAUUUUUUUUUAUUACCAAUAAAUAUGAAGUAUUUUUUUAAUUUGUUAUUGUGUCAUUGAAAUAAUAAAUUUUAGUGUUUUUUUAUUUUAUGUUUAUGAUUUAUUAUAAAUGAUUGUUUAUUUAUUUGAAAUAUUAACAUGUUACUUAUUUAAUGUAUUGUGUACUAAGCGUGUGGAUAUCCUAUCUUUUAAAAAAAUUAUCGUUUUUGUACGUUUUUGUAUCUCGUGUCCUGUGUCCAUGUAAUAUGGCUCCUGGUAUAUGAGACAACUCAAUACACUAAGUUAAUCAAUCAAAGGUUUUUUUUUUUAUUAUUACCAAUAAAAAUGAAGUGUUUUUUAAAUUUAUUUUUGUAUCACUAAAAUAAGAAAUUUAAUGUUUUUUGUUUUAUUUUUAUGAUUUAUUGUAAAUAAUUAUUUAUUUAUUUGAAAUAUUAAUGUAAUAAUUAUUUAAUGUAUUGUAUUCUAAGUAUGUGGAUGUCAUAGCUUUUAAAAAAUUAUCGUAUCCAGAUGUUCCUUUAUCUCGUGUUCCAUGUUUGUGUAACUUAGCUCGUAUGAGACUACUCGAUAUACCAAGUUAAUCGACCAAGGUUUUUUUUUUAUUACCAAUAAAAAUGAAGUGUUUAUUUAUUUUUGUGUCAUUGAAAUAAGAAAUUUACCGUUUUUUUAUUUUAUAUUUAUAAUUUAUUAUAAAUGACUGUUUAUUUAUUUGAAAUAUUAAUGCAUCAUUUAUUUAGUGUAUUAUAUUCUAAGCGUGUAUAUAUUCUAUUUUUUAAAAAAAUUAUUGUAUUCUGUAUGUUCCUAAUUAUAAUUUUUAAAUUGUUUAUAUAUUAUUAUUUAAUAAUAACAUAUUAUUUAUUCACAUUUUUAAGCGCAUGGAUUACUUAUUAAUUGUUUUGUAAAAAGAAAUAAAUUUCUUUUAAUUCUUAUCUCUCCCUUUCUUUCUUUUGCUCAAAUUUCUUUUGAUUUGAGAUUCACUCUUUCGAUUGUGAUCUUUCUCCUCAUCUCCUAUUUUUCUAGAAUAAAAUUUUGUUUCAGUUUCUAGAUUUUCUUUUCAAGUUUCUGACUUUAUCAUUUUUCCUCUAAAGAAUCUGUUUUAACCUUUUUUAAAAUCAUUUUUUUUGAAUUUAUUUUUUGUUCGAACUGGGCUUCAUGAAUUUCUACCUGUUGUAGCCAAUGACUUGGGUUUGAUUUCGAAGAAAACUAUGGCGAAAAAUAAAUUCACUUUAGAUCUAAAAUUUUCUGCAUUCAAAAAAUAAGCUUGACGAUUUUCAGGCUGUGAUUUAGGGUGGACAAAAUAUGCAUUUGGCCAUUUAUAAAUAUAUAAUUUAUAAUACUUAACCGGCGCCAUCGCGUCAGGUUAUACACUCGUAUACUCUAAAAUGAA